rnacentral:rRNA from 1 species
GCGAGCUGGUGCUAAUCCUAGAAAAUUCUUCGUAGUCCGGAUUGGAGUCUGCAACUCGACUCCAUGAAGUCGGAAUCGCUAGUAAUCGCGAAUCAGCAUGUCGCGGUGAAUACGUUCUCGGGUCUUGUACACACCGCCCGUCACACCAUGGAAGUGGAUUGCACCAGAAGUAGAUAGUCUAACCUUCGGGAGGGCGUUUACCACGGUGUGCUUCAUGACUGGGGUGAAGUCGUAACAAGGUAGCCGUAGGGGAACCUGUGGCUGGAUCACCUCCUU